rnacentral:lncRNA from 1 species
ACCGUGCCAGAAUACCAAAAUGCUUCAGUAAGCCCAAAAUUCUUUCCCGUUCUUCUCAUUUCUCCAUCCUAGGCCGUCUAACGUGUUUUUGAUGCUGGGUAACCGAGGGAAGUCGCAACCCAUGAGGAAGGAGCAGUUGAGCUAAAUUGAGCGACCGCACUGGAAAGUUGAAAUUGCCGGUAAGCUUCGGUUUUUUUCUUCUUCACCGAUAGACACCUCAUAAUUAUGAUUU